rnacentral:rRNA from 1 species
CCUACGGGGGGCAGCAGCCGCGGUAAUACGGAGGAUGCGAGCGUUAUCCGGAUUUAUUGGGUUUAAAGGGUGCGCAGGCGGGCUGUUAAGCCGGCGGUAAAAAUUCAGGGCGCAACCCUGUCGAGCCGUCGGAACUGGCAGUCUUGAGUGGGCGAGAAGUAUGCGGAAUGCGUGGUGUAGCGGUGAAAUGCAUAGAUAUCACGCAGAACGCCGAUUGCGAAGGCAGCAUACCGGCGCCCAAAUGACGCUGAGGCACGAAAGCGGGGGGAUCGAACAGGGUUAGAAACCCGGGUUGUCCGAACAAG